rnacentral:rRNA from 1 species
ACACAUAUCAAUAAGCGGAGGAAAAGAAACUAACAAGGAUUCCCCUAGUAACUGCGAGUGAAGCGGGAAAAGCUCAAAUUUAAAAGCUGGCAGUYUUUGAUUGUCCGCGUUGUAAUCUAGAGAAGUGUUACCCGCGUUGGACCGUGUACAAGUCUCCUGGAAUGGAGCGUCAUAGAGGGUGACAAUCCCGUCUUUGACACGGACUCCCAAGGCUUUGUGGUGCGCUCUCAAAGAGUCGCGUUGUUUGGGAAUGCAGCGCAAAAUGGGUGGUAAAUUCCAUCUAAAGCUAAAUAUUGGCGAGAGACCGAUAGCGAACAAGUACCGUGAGGGAAAGAUGAAAAGAACUUUGGAAAGAGAGUUAAACAGUACGUGAAAUUGCUGAAAGGGAAACGCUUGAAGUCAGUCGCGUCGUCUGGAGAUCAACCUUGCUUUUGCUGGGCGUACUCUCCAGUUGACGGGCCAGCAUCAGUUUUGACCAUUGGAAAAGGGCAGAGGGAAUGUGGCAUCUUCGGAUGUGUUAUAGCCUUCUGUCGUAUACAGUGGUUGGGACUGAGGAACUCAGCACGCCGCAAGGCGGGGAUUCGUCCACCUUCGUGCUUAGGAUGCUGGCAUAAUGGCUUUAAUCGACCCGUCUUGAAACACGGACCAAGGAGUCUAACAUGCCUGCGAGUGUUUGGGUGGWAAACCCGAGCGCGUAAUGAAAGUGAAAGUUGAGAUCCCUGUCGUGGGGAGCAUCGACGCCCGGACCAGACCUUUUGUGACGGAUCUGCGGUAGAGCAUGUAUGUUGGGACCCGAAAGAUGGUGAACUAUGCCUGAAUAGGGUGAAGCCAGAGGAAACUCUGGUGGAGGCUCGUAGCGAUUCUGACGUGCAAAUCGAUCGUCAAAUUUGGGUAUAGGGGCGAAAGACUAAUCGAACCAUCUAGUAGCUGGUCCUGC